UGUGGGCCAGUCAGGCGGGGACUGCUGCUCGCAGAGCAGGGACAUAGGUCCGCUGUGUGUGUGGGGGGGGGGGGGUAGCAAGGGACAGGCGGGAGGAGUGUUCCAGCCACUUUCUCAUCCGCCUGUGCAAGCAGCAGAGCCCCUCCCCUGGGUCCCUGUGAGCAGACCUCUGGGGCCAGGUUUUGGUGGAAGCCAAAAUUUGUAGAAAUUAGCUUGUUGUGGGGGGAAUCUUCUCUGAGACCAUUUUUUUUUAGAUUUUUAGAGAAAAAAUGGGGGCAACUCCUUCCUGGGAUGGUGUUUAGGAAUUGGCUGUGGACUAAGGCAACCCCUCAGAAGCACACCACGGCAAGGACAUCCAGGAGGCAGAGGACAGUCCUGAUGGACGGCCUGGUGCUGGACUCUACACUGAGGCCACAGACACAGAGAAAGCCAAGGGUUUCCGGAGAGCUGCCAGGAGGUCGUGCAACUCCACUUCUGUCUGACAAACCAGGAACAAGGUGGUCCAGGCGACAAGUCCUUCCUCCCUGAGCUCCAGGACCCUUCUGCUUCCCAAGGUCACUCGGCCUGGCUGGUGACCCACAGGCCAAGGGCUGGGCUGGAAAUGGGGGGGCAAGAGUCGUCCACUAAGCUGCACCGUGGCUCCUGGACACCUCCUGCUGCCCACCUCGGGACAGUCUGGUGGCCCCAGUAACUGCUGCCAAGAAUGAUUCGGGUGCCCUGGGGAGAAGGAGAGCAACUGUUCAUGGACCACUUGUGUCGCAUCCAACUUGCAGCCAGUGUUGGUGUAGAUGCACCAAUGGGUCUCCAUCAACAAACUCAAAGCCAUUGAUCCUGGUCUAGGUUCGCCAAUCAGCAGUGAACUGCCACAUCAGCCAUAAGCUGCUUCUGUGACUUUCCUGAGGGACUUGAGGGCCCUUCCUACACCUGGCCACACAGCUGUGAGCCUCUUUUUCUCUACUGUCCAACUCGGAGCCCAGUGUCCACCAGCCCUGCUUUGGCCUCUGACCCCUAUUCUCCAUGUCUUGAAGAAAACAUGAUACCAACCCUUGGAAACUCAGGUCUGGAAAGGGAUCACUUGUAACGUUGGGAUUCUUCUGGCUGUUUGUUUUAUGGUACCGGGGAUUGAACCCAGCAUCCACCAAGCUACAUCUCUGCGUAUUUUGAAAUUUAAAAAUUUUAACACAGUGUCUUACUAAAUCACAACUUAGCACAAGCUGGACUCAAAUUUGAGAUCCUCCUACCUCAGUUUCUCAUUAUCCUUCUGUUUUGUUUUGUUUUUUCACUGGCACCAGGGAUCGAACUCACAGGCAGGCGCUUAUGCCACUGAGUUAAAUUCUGAGCCCCAUCCCUCUGUUUUUCAGUUCCUAUAUUUCUGUCACACCACUUACUUCUCCUUUUUAUUGUUUAUUGUUUCAUUUUGUCUUGUUGAGAUAGAGUCUCAUUAUGUAGCUCAGGCUGGCCCUGAACUCAUAAUGGAACCUUGAACUCGUAAGGAUCUUCCUGCGUCAGCCUCCAAAUACUGGGAUCACAGGCGUGUGCUGCCACGCCUGGAUCAUGACUGACUUUUUUUUCAUGACUGACUUUUUAAGGGAGAUCUCCAAUUGAUCUUGCCCUCCUACCAUGGCCCUCUGUAGAGUGACUUUAUAAAGGUAUCUGGGGACAUCUUUAUAAAGUUAACAAAGAUCAGCAGGGCUCUUCAGAGCUUCUCAGCACUCUUGCUAUACUGUGAUUCUCCAAGAAGAGCCUGCCUGGGACCUAAUUUCACACUUUUAGGAACAGAAUGUGGGAAAUGAAUGCCAAAGUGGUCAUCAGUCUACAAAUACUCGCAUUCUGAGGCUGGACACGUGUUCCUGCCACCUCUGGUUUUACCAGGGGACCCAGUCUCAUGCCUUGGAACCUGUUGGACAUUGGUUUUAGGGCCCCCAGGGACACCAAAUCCCAAGGAUGCUCAGGUCCUUUACAUAGAAGGGACGGUGUUUGCAUAUUGCUGUGCAUAUCCUCCUGUGAAUUCUAAAUCAUAGCUCAGCUCCUUUAAUCCCCUGCAUGGAGGAAAUGCUAUGGAAGGAGUGGCUACACGGUAUUGUUUAGGAGACAAUGGCGGAGAAAGGGCUCAGGGCAGAUGUGUACACCGCAGCUCCUGCCACCUCAUCAGCAUGGGGCCAGCUGUGAUGCGGUGGGAGGACCCAGCAGCUGAUGUCCCCACGUCACCCACUGCAGUGAAUUCACUAUAAUGCUAAGCAUGAGGGAAACUCCAGUUUUGCUUUUCAGAACUUUCUGGGAUUUUUUUCAAAUAUUUCAGUCCAUGGCUGGUGCCCUCUAGGCAUAGACUGUGCAGGUAUGGAGGGCUGACUGUACCUAAAUGGCUUCUCACUCUGAUGAGCUCAAGAUUUCUCACCCUGGUUCCAAUGUUCCACCUCAGCAGUUUCUUUAAAUAUGAUCUGGGAAUAGAUGUGACUCUAGAAUUGGAAUUGAGGUCUCCCACACAUGAAGCAAGCUCUCUUCUGAGAAAGAAACUUCCAGAUAUAGCAGAGGGCUUUUCCAGUAUGGUUUUUCUUUUUUUCUUUUUUCUUUUUGUUUGUUUUUUGUCUUUUGAAACAGGGUCUUGCCAUGCCAUUCAGGCUGAUCUUGAACUCACUUUGCAACCCAGGAUGAUCUCGAACUCACAGUGAUCCUCCUGCCUCAGCCUCCCAAGUGCUGGGAUUACAGGAAUCCUGCUGGCAGAUCUUAGGCAUUACUUGAAAGUGUAAACGCGCUAGUACUUCAGGUCACGAAUUUGCAGGACAGCCAGGAGCUGGUGAGAGUUGCUUGCUUGGAAGAGGAGAGGUUAGCAGAGCAGAAGGAAAAAAGCUUUCCUUUUCUCCAUCUGGUAAUGAAGUGCUUUCUUACAAUCAGUACCAGGGAAUGAAUUCACGGCUUCAUGCUUGCCAGGCAGGCGCUGUGCCACUAAGCUAUAUCCCCCACCCUACAGAUGCAAUCUUCAGGAAUGUUUUGGAUCCUCUAUUGGCUGGAUCUGCAGAUGUGAAACCUCUGGAUAUCAGGACUGACUGUAAUCAAUUCAGCUGUAACCCCAGGGAAGACGCUUCCUGAUCAGUCAUCCUAAUUAUGAUCUUUCAAAGUUGAAAACAGGAUGAUGAACCUGGUGCCAUUAUUCACUCAGCUGGUUUUUUGGGGCUCCAAAUGUUCAUUUCAUUCUAGGUAGAUAUGGCUUUUCCACCAAGCUUCUGUUAAGAACAUAAAAACAGACCAAGAAGAAAGAACUGUUUCAAAAGGCAACAUGACUGUACAGACCUUCUUUCCACUCAUGGAGACCACAAGUAUGGGGCGCAGUACCGAGCACACCGUGAGUCCUCCAGUGACUAAUGAAUGGACAAAUGGUGUAGAUCGACAUAAAUUGCAGAGGUUACAGAACCUGCCCAUGGUCAGCUGGCAGGUGUGAUGCAGAGGCAGACACUGAGUCUGGACUGGACAAAUCUCCAAGGUCACACUGUUAGACACUGGGGUGAUGUGCCGUAGGUGCCUAAAGUCUGGGUCUGUCCUGUCACAGUUGUAUUUUCAGUAAACACUUGUCAAAUGAAUUUCUUUGAAUGACAGAAGUGAAAACAGGAGAAUGCAUUGCCUUUUGUCUGCUCCUUGAUGCUGGCACAUCUGGCCAUAGUCUUAUGGUUUCUUAUUUGUUUGUUUGUGUUUUGAUUUUGUUUUGAGACAGCAUCUUGCUAUGUAGUCCAAACUGGCCUUGAACUCACUAUGUUGCCAAAGGUAGCCUUGAACUUGUAAUUCUCCUGCCUCAGCUUCCCAAGUGCUGGGAUUAUGGGCAUGCACCACUACACCCAGCACAUAGCAGUAUUUACUGAACCUCUUCUGAGUGUCAUGCAUUAUUCUACACAUCAGCAAACCAGGCAAAGACUUCAUGGAAUUUACAGUCUUAACACAAAAAAACAAGACACUAAAAAAGAAUUUUAAAAAGAAGUAAAUAUAUGAUGCUAGAAGACAAAUGCUACACAAAAUAGAAAAAUGGGAUAAGAGCAGCGACUCUUAUCUGAGAAUCUGAGACCCAUAAGGGGUUGCUCACGAGUAGAAUUCAGGUCAUAUGUGAAGCUGGAUGUAGGGUUCUGUAUCUUCAUUAAUCUUAAUCUUCAAAUCAUUGUGAGCAGUCAGCCUCUGGGGUAAUAGCAAUACUUGUGGCUUUGUUACCAAUUGAAGUCACAGAUACUUUGUAUCUUAAAGACAACUGUUGCAGAUAUCUUGAACUGCUCAUGGUUAUCCUCGUCAUCGCUACUUUGUAGCGAUCGGACCUGUGGGUAAGCCUUAUUGCUUAAUGUAUCAGUAAACAUUGUAUCUGUAUCUCAA